GAUGAACGCUGGCGGCGUGCCUAAUACAUGCAAGUCGAGCGAACAGACGAGGAGCUUGCUCCUUUGACGUUAGCGGCGGACGGGUGAGUAACACGUAGGUAACCUACCUAUAAGACUGGGAUAACUUCGGGAAACCGGAGCUAAUACCGGAUAAUAUUUCGAACCGCAUGGUUCGAUAGUGAAAGAUGGCUUUGCUAUCACUUAUAGAUGGACCUGCGCCGUAUUAGCUAGUUGGUAAGGUAACGGCUUACCAAGGCAACGAUACGUAGCCGACCUGAGAGGGUGAUCGGCCACACUGGAACUGAGACACGGUCCAGACUCCUACGGGAGGCAGCAGUAGGGAAUCUUCCGCAAUGGGCGAAAGCCUGACGGAGCAACGCCGCGUGAGUGAUGAAGGUCUUCGGAUCGUAAAACUCUGUUAUUAGGGAAAACAAACGUGUAAGUAACUGUGCACGUCUUGACGGUACCUAAUCAGAAAGCCACGGCUAACUACGUG
rnacentral:rRNA from 1 species